CGAUGUUCUCAACUGUCACACUUGUGCUGCUCGUGUCAUGCUGCGGCGUUGCGUUGAGUAGUUGGAUACCAUAUGGGAACUCGUAUUUGCCACAACAACCUGCUGGAAAGGGAGGGUAUUGGAACUCAUAUUUGCCGCAAUAUGAGAACUAUGGGCCACAACAAUAUCAAGGUUCCUAUUGGCCUGGACCAUGGGGCGGCUGGCGAGGAAAUAACGUCGGAUCGCAAGGUAAUUCCGUAAGCGGGUAUGGGAAUGCCGUAGGAUCGCAAGGGAAUAAUGUCGACGGAUAUGGGAAUGAUGUUGGCUGGCAAUGGAAUUCCGUGGACGGUAAAGGCAAUUACGUUGGCUCGCAAUGGAAUUCCGUGAACUGAGUACAGCUGAAAUGGAACACAAUACAGAACAACACGUACCAAAAAUGUUUUCUUUUGUUGACAAUACUUAAUAAAUAUUAUUCAGCAACGCUUACCU